rnacentral:rRNA from 1 species
GAUGAACGCUGGCGGUAUGCCUUACACAUGCAAGUCGUACGAGAGUUUUUAACUCUAGUGGCGGACGGGUGAGUAACACGUAAGAAUUUGCCUUUAGGAGGGGGACAACAACUGGAAACGGUUGCUAAUACCCCAUAUGCUUUCGAGUGAAAUGGAUUUCCGCCUAAAGAGAAGCUUGCGGCUGAUUAGCUUGUUGGUGAGGUAAUGGCUCACCAAGGCGACGAUCAGUAUCUGGUUUGAGAGGACGAUCAGACACACUGGAACUGAGACACGGUCCAGACUCCUACGGGAGGCAGCAGUGGGGAAUUUUCCGCAAUGGGCGAAAGCCUGACGGAGCAAUACCGCGUGAGGGAUGACGGCCUAUGGGUUGUAAACCUCUUUUUUCAGGGAGGAAUAAAUGACGUGUACCUGAAGAAUAAGC